GAUGAACGCUGGCGGCGUGCCUAAUACAUGCAAGUCGAGCGAACGGACGAGAAGCUUGCUUCUCUGAUGUUAGCGGCGGACGGGUGAGUAACACGUGGAUAACCUACCUAUAAGACUGGGAUAACUUCGGGAAACCGGAGCUAAUACCGGAUAAUAUUUUGAACCGCAUGGUUCAAAAGUGAAAGACGGUCUUGCUGUCACUUAUAGAUGGAUCCGCGCUGCAUUAGCUAGUUGGUAAGGUAACGGCUUACCAAGGCAACGAUGCAUAGCCGACCUGAGAGGGUGAUCGGCCACACUGGAACUGAGACACGGUCCAGACUCCUACGGGAGGCAGCAGUAGGGAAUCUUCCGCAAUGGGCGAAAGCCUGACGGAGCAACGCCGCGUGAGUGAUGAAGGUCUUCGGAUCGUAAAACUCUGUUAUUAGGGAAGAACAUAUGUGUAAGUAACUGUGCACAUCUUGACGGUACCUAAUCAGAAAGCCACGGCUAACUACGUGCCAGCAGCCGCGGUAAUACGUAGGUGGCAAGCGUUAUCCGGAAUUAUUGGGCGUAAAGCGCGCGUAGGCGGUUUUUUAAGUCUGAUGUGAAAGCCCACGGCUCAACCGUGGAGGGUCAUUGGAAACUGGAAAACUUGAGUGCAGAAGAGGAAAGUGGAAUUCCAUGUGUAGCGGUGAAAUGCGCAGAGAUAUGGAGGAACACCAGUGGCGAAGGCGACUUUCUGGUCUGUAACUGACGCUGAUGUGCGAAAGCGUGGGGAUCAAACAGGAUUAGAUACCCUGGUAGUCCACGCCGUAAACGAUGAGUGCUAAGUGUUAGGGGGUUUCCGCCCCUUAGUGCUGCAGCUAACGCAUUAAGCACUCCGCCUGGGGAGUACGACCGCAAGGUUGAAACUCAAAGGAAUUGACGGGGACCCGCACAAGCGGUGGAGCAUGUGGUUUAAUUCGAAGCAACGCGAAGAACCUUACCAAAUCUUGACAUCCUUUGACAACUCUAGAGAUGGAGCUUUCCCCUUCGGGGGACAAAGUGACAGGUGGUGCAUGGUUGUCGUCAGCUCGUGUCGUGAGAUGUUGGGUUAAGUCCCGCAACGAGCGCAACCCUUAAGCUUAGUUGCCAUCAUUAAGUUGGGCACUCUAAGUUGACUGCCGGUGACAAACCGGAGGAAGGUGGGGAUGACGUCAAAUCAUCAUGCCCCUUAUGAUUUGGGCUACACACGUGCUACAAUGGACAAUACAAAGGGCAGCGAAACCGUGAGGUCAAGCAAAUCCCAUAAAGUUGUUCUCAGUUCGGAUUGUAGUCUGCAACUCGACUACAUGAAGCUGGAAUCGCUAGUAAUCGUAGAUCAGCAUGCUACGGUGAAUACGUUCCCGGGUCU
rnacentral:rRNA from 1 species